GGACGGGGCCCGCACAAGGCGGUGGAGUAUGUGGUUUAAUUCGAUGCAACGCGAAGAACCUUACCUGGUCUUGACAUCCCGGAGACCCUUAGGAAACUAGGGGGUGCUUCCAUCUGGAAGAAUCUGGAGACAGGUGCUGCAUGGCUGUCGUCAGCUCGUGUCGUGAGAUGUUGGGUUAAGUCCCGCAACGAGCGCAACCCUUGCCUUUAGUUGCCAGCAGUUCGGCUGGGCACUCUAAAGGGACUGCCGGUGUUAAACCGGAGGAAGGUGGGGAUGACGUCAAGUCCUCAUGGCCUUUAUGACCAGGGCUACACACGUACUACAAUGGCCGAUACAAAGGGCAGCGACACUGCGAGGUGAAGCCAAUCCCGUAAAAUCGGUCUCAGUCCGGAUUGGAGUCUGCAACUCGACUCCAUGAAGUUGGAAUCGCUAGUAAUCGUGGAUCAGCAUGCCACGGUGAAUACGUUCCCGGGCCUU
rnacentral:rRNA from 1 species